rnacentral:rRNA from 1 species
UACGGGGGGGGCAAGCGUUGUUCGGAAUUACUGGGCGUAAAGGGUGCGUAGGCGGUCUGUUAAGUUGGAUGUGAAAACUCUGGGCUCAACCCAGAGCCUGCAUCCGAAAACUGGCAGGCUAGAGUUCUGGAGGGGGUAGCGGAAUUCCUGGUGUAGCGGUGAAAUGCGUAGAGUAUCAGGAGGAACACCGGUGGCGAAGGCGGGACUAC